CGAUUAUUGCUAGUUGAAAACUUUACCCAAUACCCCGCCUUGACGACUUGAAAUAUAGUCGGCAAUGGCAAUUUUUGACGGUCUCUAUGGAGA